GUCUACGGACAUGCCACCCUGAACAAGCCCGAUCUCGUCUGAUCUCGGAAGCUAAGCAGGGUCGGGCCUGGUUAGUACUUGGAUGGGAGACCACCUAGGAAGACCAGGUGCUGUAGGCA
rnacentral:rRNA from 1 species